GCUGGGUGCAGUGGUGCACGCCUAUAAUCCCAGUGGCUGGGAGGCUGAGGCAGGAGGAUCGUGAGUUCAAAGCCAGCCUCAGCAAUUUAAUGAGGCCCUAAGCAUCUCAGUAAGACUCUGUCUCUA
rnacentral:sRNA from 1 species